GAUGAACGCUGGCGGCGUGCCUAAUACAUGCAAGUCGAGCGAACGGACGAGAAGCUUGCUUCUCUGAUGUUAGCGGCGGACGGGUGAGUAACACGUGGAUAACCUACCUAUAAGACUGGGAUAAUUUCGGGAAACCGGAGCUAAUACCGGAUAAUAUUUUGAACCGCAUGGUUCAAAAGUAAAAGACGGUCUUGCUGUCACUUAUAGAUGGAUCCGCGCUGCAUUAGCUAGUUGGUAAGGUAACGGCUUACCAAGGCAACGAUGCAUAGCCGACCUGAGAGGGUGAUCGGCCACACUGGAACUGAGACACGGUCCAGACUCCUACGGGAGGCAGCAGUAGGGAAUCUUCCGCAAAGGGCGAAAGCCUGACGGAGCAACGCCGCGUGAGUGAUGAAGGUCUUCGGAUCGUAAAACUCUGUUAUUAGGGAAGAACAUAUGUGUAAGUAACUGUGCACAUCUUGACGGUACCUAAUCAGAAAUCCACGGCUAACUACGUG
rnacentral:rRNA from 1 species